GACGUAGGGCGCGAGCGUUGUCCGGAUUUAUUGGGCGUAAAGAGCUCGUAGGCGGCUUGUCGCGUCGACUGUGAAAACCCGCGGCUUAACUGCGGGACUGCAGUCGAAACUGCCGGGCUAGAGUACUGGAGAGGUUGGUGGAAUUCUCGGUGUAGAGGUGAAAUUCGUAGAUAUUCGCAAGAACACCAGUGGCGAAGGCGGCUCACUGGCCGAACUGACGCUGAGGUGCGAAAGCGUGGGGAGCAAACAGG
rnacentral:rRNA from 1 species